rnacentral:miRNA from 1 species
UAAGUGAUUGAUCGAUCGUGGAU